CGGUCAAUAGUUCGGACAGAAGAAUCAUCCUGGUCAGCUCCAAAAUAUGGCUACUUGCAUGGUAAUCACGGCAAGUCUGUCAAAGCAGGUCGGGCAGUUCCCAGCUUGACCUGGCAAAGCAGAAGAGAUGCACAAGAAAAGGCUAAAUGAAUCUUUCAGAAGCUGGAGAGGGGCCUGUCACUUACUAAUGCAGCCAAGGAGAGGAUGGAGGCACUUCAAACUCCACAUGGCCCAAACCAACCUCAUCAUCUCCUCCACAAACGUGGCCCUCUCGCCCGUCUCCGCGGCAGCGGUGGCCCAGCGCUCACUGCCUGCCAGGCCACAGGGGAGGCGCGUCUCUGGCUCUCCCUGUGCCCGCUCCUAGACUGCCACACCUACUGUGUCACCGCAUCCUGUGAAUUUUGCCCGGAUGCACUGGUGUUCAGACAUGCAGACCUCGUUACGUCCUUUCUAUGCCUGAAACCCUUCUACGUGGGCCCCACUGGCAUCAACCACGGGAUAAAAUUCAAGUUCCUUAAUGGACAGAAAGGACAUAUACGGCCCUCACGGUUGGGCCACCCAUCCCCACACCACGCUGCUGCUCACCUGGGCUCAUGCUCUGCCCUUUACCUGCCUGUUCCCUUCUAAAAAUCUCACUGUAGCUAACUGCUCAUCCUUUGAGAAGCAUUGCAUGUGUCACUUCCUCCAGGAAGCCUUCCUUUCCGUGCUGCCAUGGACAGAUCCGGAUCUUUACAGGUCGCAGGUUGUAAUUAUUUGUUUCUCUGUCUGUCUUCCCCAUUAGAUGAGUUCUUUAAGGCUUGGAAUUGUGACUUAUUUCUGAAUUAGUGCCUGGCACAUUAAUAUAUUUUUGUUGAAUGAAUAAAUAACUAUCUUUAAUCCUUUAUAUAGCUAUAUUCCUGGGGCUUGGUACAGCUGGGAUA